CAUGUCUGUAUGAGAGUUAUAUAAAGUCUGGCCUGCCCAUUGGGGUACUAAAAGGCCGCGGUAUUGUGACCGUGCGAAGGUAGCAUAAUCAUUAGUCUUUUAAUUGGAGGCUGGUAUGAAUGGUCGGACGAGAAGUAAGCUGUCUUUAUCUCAUAGAUUGAAUUUAACUUUUAAGUGAAAAGGCUUAAAUGGGUUAGAGGGACGAUAAGACCCUAUAAAGUUUAUACAUGGAGUUAAUCAAGAGUGAUUUGGAAUAGUAAAGUUCAUUAUUAGCAAGAUGUUUAGUUGGGGUGACUAGAAUAUAAGUUAUAUAACUGUUUUUUGUUUUAAUCAGAGAUAUCUGUUUGUAUGGUCCCUUUUUAGGAUUAGAGAGUAAAUUACUUUAGGGAUAACAGCGUAAUUUUUUUUAAGAGUUCUUAUCGACAAAAGAGUUUGCGACCUCGAUGUUGAAUUAAAAAUUUCUUUGUGGCGUAGCAGUUACAAGAGAAGGUCUGUUCGACCUUUAAAUUUUUACAUGAUUUGAGUUCAGACCGGCGUGAGCCA
rnacentral:rRNA from 1 species